CUCCUUUGACGUUAGCGGCGGACGGGUGAGUAACACGUGGGUAACCUACCUAUAAGACUGGGAUAACUUCGGGAAACCGGAGCUAAUACCGGAUAAUAUUUCGAACCGCAUGGUUCGAUAGUGAAAGGUGGUUUUGCUACCACUUAUAGAUGGACCCGCGCCGUAUUAGCUAGUUGGUAAGGUAACGGCUUACCAAGGCGACGAUACGUAGCCGACCUGAGAGGGUGAUCGGCCACACUGGAACUGAGACACGGUCCAGACUCCUACGGGAGGCAGCAGCA
rnacentral:rRNA from 1 species